rnacentral:rRNA from 1 species
UACAUUUUCCUACCUGAUGGAGUUAAAUUUUAUACCUUCGGCUUAGCUGCGGUUUGCUGGGCAAUUUGGAAUUGCCGCAACCGAACUACGUUUGAGCACAAAAUGGUAAAGACCCCUUUUGAUGUGGUUUUCUCUACAUGUGGGUUUCUUACCUACUGGGCAGGUUUGAUGACAGGAGCGGACCGCGAAGCAUUGGAGCGCAGCGCUAAGAUGCUCAGGACCAAUGCAUCGACUAUGAUGCGGAUUUGCGCGGCUCCAGCAGAGGUCAAGAUGGAUUGA